GCCGGUGUGGUGUAGUGGUUUGAGCACUGGACUAUGACUCUGGAGACCAUGGUUCAAAUCCCGCUUUGGCC